GAUGAAGAACGCAGUGAAAUGCGAUAAGUAAUGCGAAUUGCAGAAUUAGUGAAUCAUCGAGUCUUUGAACGCACAUUGCGCCCUUUGGUAUUCCUUAGGGCAUGCCUGUUCGAGCGUCAUUUGAAACCUCAAGCUCAGCUUGGUGUUGGGUGUCUGUCCCCGCCUCCGCGGGGACUCGCCUCAAAAUCAUUGGCGGCCGGUACGUUGGCUUCGAGCGCAGCAGAAACGCGAACUCGAGGCCCGGCGGAUCGGCGACCAGAAGUCUCUUCUUCACAGUUUGACCUCGGAUCAGGUAGGGAUACCCGCUGAACUUAAGCAUAUCAAUAAGCGGAGGA
rnacentral:misc_RNA from 1 species